GACGAACGCUGGCGGCGUGCUUAACACAUGCAAGUCGAACGGAAAGGCCCUGCUUUUGUGGGGUGCUCGAGUGGCGAACGGGUGAGUAACACGUGAGUAACCUGCCCUUGACUUUGGGAUAACUUCAGGAAACUGGGGCUAAUACCGGAUAGGAGCUCCUGCUGCAUGGUGGGGGUUGGAGAGUUUCGGCGGUUGGGGAUGGACUCGCGGCUUAUGAGCUUGUUGGUGGGGUAGUGGCUUACCAAGGCUUUGACGGGUAGCCGGCCUGAGAGGGUGACCGGCCACAUGGGGACUGAGAGACGGCCCAGACUCCUACGGGAGGCAGCAGGGGGGAAUAUUGCACAAUGGGCGGAAGCCUGAUGCAGCAACGCCGCGGGCGGGAAGACGGCCUUCGGGUUGUAAACCGCUUUCGCCUGUGACGAAGCGUGAGUGACGGUAAUGGGUAAAGAAGCACCGGCUAACUACGUG
rnacentral:rRNA from 1 species